UUAGCCCUAAACACAAAUAAUUACAGAAACAAAAUUAUUCGCCAGAGUACUACCGGCAACAGCCCGAAACUCAAAGGACUUGGCGGUGCUUUAUACCCUUCUAGAGGAGCCUGUUCUAUAAUCGAUAAACCCCGAUAAACCUCACCAAUCCUUGCUAAUACAGUCUAUAUACCGCCAUCUUCAGCAAACCCUAAAAAGGAACAAAAGUAAGCUCAAUCACAACACAUAAAGACGUUAGGUCAAGGUGUAACCCAUGGAAUGGGAAGAAAUGGGCUACAUUUUCUACCUUAAGAAAAUUAAUACGAAAGCCAUUAUGAAAUUAAUGACCAAAGGAGGAUUUAGUAGUAA
rnacentral:rRNA from 1 species